AGCAGUCGCCACGGUAAUACAGAGGGUGCGAGCGUUAAUCGGAUUUACUGGGCGUAAAGCGUGCGUAGGCGGCUUCUUAAGUCGGAUGUGAAAUCCCUGAGCUUAACUUAGGAAUUGCAUUCGAUACUGGGAAGCUAGAGUAUGGGAGAGGAUGGUAGAAUUCCAGGUGUAGCGGUGAAAUGCGUAGAGAUCUGGAGGAAUACCGAUGGCGAAGGCAGCCAUCUGGCCUAAUACUGACGCUGAGGUACGAAAGCAUGGGGAGCAAACAGGAUUAGAGACCCCCGUAGUCCCUGUCUCUUAUAA
rnacentral:rRNA from 1 species